UUAACUAUUGUAUAGUACUCAGACGACAUUAACAUUCAGAGUCUGCGGAGCCUCUGGCGGGCGCGCGCCAGCCGGGCUGGCGGCCGGGCAGGGCCCGGCGGCCCGCCAAAGCAACGAUCGUAGUGAUAACAGUGGGUGGGAGAUCUACCCAAGAGGGCACGAACUCUGUAAUGAUCCCUCCGCAGGUUCACCUACGGAGA
rnacentral:misc_RNA from 1 species